UAAAAACCCCGACUUCGGAAGGGGUGUAUUUAUUAGAUACAAAACCAAUGCCCUUCGGGGCUCUUUGGCGAUUCAUGAUAACUAUACGAAUCGCACGGCCUUGCGCCGGCGAUGGUUCAUUCAAAUUUCUUCCCUAUCAACUUUCGAUGUUUGGGUAUUGGCCAAACAUGGUUGCAACGGGUAACGGAGGGUUAGGGCUCGACCCCGGARAAGGAGCCUGAGAAACGGCUACUACAUCCAAGGAAGGCAGCAGGCGCGCAAAUUACCCAAUCCCGACUCGGGGAGGUAGUGACAAUAAAUACUGAUACAGGGCCCUUUCGGGCCUUGUAAUUGGAAUGAGUACAAUUUAAAUCCCUUAACGAGGAACAAUUGGAGGGCAAGUCUGGUGCCAGCAGCCGCGGUAAUUCCAGCUCCAAUAGCGUAUAUUAAAGUUGUUGUGGUUAAAAAGCUCGUAGUUGAACCUUGGGCCUGGCUGGCCGGUCCGCCUCACCGCGUGCACUGGUCCGGCCGGGCCUUUCCCUCUGUGGAACCCCAUACCCUUCACUGGGCGUGGCGGGGAAACAGGACAUUUACUUU
rnacentral:rRNA from 1 species